GGCGCCAAGCAGCGUCUGCGUGGUGAACUGUGUCAGGUUCG
rnacentral:SRP_RNA from 13 species